UCCAACCCUCAUCCUCCCCCAGGUAGAGAGCCGGUUCCCUUGCGCAGAAGGUAAAAGGCGCCAGGUCCACCCUAAGGUCAGUGUCUUUCUCUCUACACCUGCAGAUGGCGCUCUCCGGUUUGCUUUGGCUCACAGCCCCACGAACGCGCACUAACUUCAUGUGUGGAGCGAAAAAAGAAAACAGUUGGCGCACUCAAAGGGAACAGCUCCCAGGCCUUGGUGGCAAGGAACCCUCAAAUACUGUUAGUUCAUUUAGUCUUGGACUCCCUUCAAGGAGGUAGCAAACCCAAAAUUGGCGAGAGGCAAGGAAUCCCAUACUUUGUAUAUGAGACUUAAUGCACAGUGGGCAAGGGGUUUACUCACACUUCAGACUCUGCAUGAAUCCCUGAGGAAUGAAGACCCUACCAGGACAACUUACCAGUCCUUGAAGGCCUAGAACUCGCCCCCCACCUCACCCCAGCACCCACCCCUGGAUCCUUUUCCCAGCACUGAAGUAGUUGGACACUUGCCUUCCCAUCUAGAUCAACCCCUGCAAGCUUCCUCUGUAUUUUGGACCCAUCCCUGGGUGGAGAAAGUCAAAAAGCAGUGCUCCCUCACCACUGUAGACUCCUUUCAGCUGAGAUUGUCACUUCUCCUGGGGCCUAGGUUUUCUCUCCAAGCUUUGGCCUCUCUCUCUAAUACUUCCUUCCCCUUUCUUCUUCAUCUUCUAUAGGAGGGAGUGGGGAAGCAAUAGGGGUGGGGGAGAAGAAAGGAGGAAAGAGAAAAAGAAAGAGAAAGAAAACAACCCAGCUCCAAAUACAACCCAGUCUGCGACCUGUCAGGGUUGGUUGCUUUUUCCGUCUGCCUCUAAAUGAACCUUUUCUCUCUAGAGUUUUCAAAGCAGCCCUUUCCACUGCCACCCCCCAACCUAGGGGCAUUUACACUUCAAACAAGGCACCCGCCUCCCUGCGGAAAUUUAAAGGCAAAUAAACUUUUGGGGAGUUGCUCUGAUACCCAUCUCAGGAUUUGCUUCAUUAGCCACCCCUGUGUAUCUGAUCUGCCCAAUAAAUCUUCCUUGUGGAUCUCA